rnacentral:rRNA from 1 species
GACGAACGCUGGCGGCGUGCCUAAUACAUGCAAGUAGAACGCUGAAGAGAGGAGCUUGCUCUUCUUGGAUGAGUUGCGAACGGGUGAGUAACGCGUAGGUAACCUGCCUGGUAGCGGGGGAUAACUAUUGGAAACGAUAGCUAAUACCGCAUAAAAUGGAUUAUCGCAUGAUAAUCCAUUGAAAGGUGCAAAUGCAUCACUACCAGAUGGACCUGCGUUGUAUUAGCUAGUUGGUGGGGUAACGGCUCACCAAGGCGACGAUACAUAGCCGACCUGAGAGGGUGAUCGGCCACACUGGGACUGAGACACGGCCCAGACUCCUACGGGGGGCAGCAGUAGGGAAUCUUCGGCAAUGGACGGAAGUCUGACCGAGCAACGCCGCGUGAGUGAAGAAGGUUUUCGGAUCGUAAAGCCCUGUUGUAAGAGAAGAACGAGUGUGAGAGUGGAAAGUUCACACUGUGACGGUAUCUUACCAGAAAGGGACGGCUAACUACGUG